rnacentral:rRNA from 1 species
CCUACGGGUGGCAGCAGUGGGGAAUAUUGCACAAUGGGGGCAACCCUGAUGCAGCCACGCCGCGUGAGUGAAGAAGUCUUUCGGUAUGUAAAGUACUGUCAGCGGGGAGGAAAAUGAUGGUAUUUGACCCAGAAGCCACGGCUAACUACGUGCCAGCAGCCGCGGGAAUACGUCGUGGGAAAGCGUUAUUCGGAUUUACUGGGUGAAACGGGAGCGUAGACGGCUGGGCAAGUCUGAAGUGAAAGGCGGGGGCUCAACCACCGGACUGCUCUGGAAACUGACAGGCUGGAGUGCAGGAGAGGUAAGUAGAAUUCCAAGGGUAGCGGUGAAAUGCGUAGAGAUUAGGAGGAACACCAGUGGCGAAGGCGGCCUACUGGACUGUGACUGACGUUGAGGCGCGAAAGCGUGGGGAGCAAACAGGAUUAGAUACCCCUGUAGUC